rnacentral:rRNA from 1 species
GAUGAACGCUGGCGGCGUGCCUAAUACAUGCAAGUCGAGCGAACAGACGAGGAGCUUGCUCCUCUGGCGUUAGCGGCGGACGGGUGAGUAACACGUGGAUAACCUACCUAUAAGACUGGGAUAACUUCGGGAAACCGGAGCUAAUACCGGAUAAUAUAUUGAACCGCAUGGUUCAAUAGUGAAAGACGGUUUUGCUGUCACUUAUAGAUGGAUCCGCGCCGCAUUAGCUAGUUGGUAAGGUAACGGCUUACCAAGGCAACGAUGCGUAGCCGACCUGAGAGGGUGAUCGGCCACACUGGAACUGAGCCACGGUCCAGACUCCUACGGGAGGCAGCAGUAGGGAAUCUUCCGCAAUGGGCGAAAGCCUGACGGAGCAACGCCGCGUGAAUGAUGAAGGUCUUCGGAUCGUAAAACUCUGUUAUUAGGGAAGAACAAAUGUGUAAGUAACUAUGCACGUCUUGACGGUACCUAAUCAGAAAGCCACGGCUAACUACGUG